rnacentral:rRNA from 1 species
UGGGCAACCUGCCCUCAGCUCUGGGACAACUCCGGGAAACCGGGGCUAAUACCGGAUACGACCUUCCCUCGCAUGGGGGUUGGUGGAAAGUUUUUCGGCUGAGGAUGGGCCCGCGGCCUAUCAGCUUGUUGGUGGGGUGAUGGCCUACCAAGGCGACGACGGGUAGCCGGCCUGAGAGGGCGACCGGCCACACUGGGACUGAGACACGGCCCAGACUCCUACGGGAGGCA